rnacentral:lncRNA from 1 species
GUCACUUGGAGUUUUUGUAUAUUUUUAAAAGAAAGUUAGCAUACAUUUUUAUCCUCAUAGGUUCUCUCAGAUCACUCAUUAUCUUUUGUAUAUAUAUCUCACUGAGGUUGUUUUAUUUUGCAAAAAUUCUUAAGCAUACUCACUUUGCAUUUAUUGCCUGAUCAAAACGGGAUCCGAGGAGGGGAAUGUCAUACUCUUAGAUCAAAGACUUUAAAAACUUUGUCAACUCUUGCUGGCAUAUUGCUUAUUAGAGGGACCAUGGGCUAUCAUAUUUUUUUUUAAGUGGAUACCGAGGUACCCCUAAUUCUACUGCCGGACACUUGUCCAUUUUUUCUGCGAGGUUGUCGAGCACUUGCUCCUUUUUAUUUCCUCGAAAUAUCUUCUAUUUUUGCAUAGCCCAUGCCUCUAAUGCAAUAAUACUUCGGAAGAGUGAAUCUUUCUGAAAUAAUGUCUUGAUCUUGGGAGCAUGAUAAAUCUCUCAACAAGGGUCUAACUCAUUUUGAACAAACUCAAUACAGAGCAGAUAGCUUUUAUAAUCAUAAUUAAUAUUUCAGUUUUAUCAGGCAUAUAAAACACUAAGGAUGGUAGCUAGAAAUUUGAAUAUUUUGAAAUAAGUUCUCCAAGCAACAAUGAUAUCAAGAAUAAGAAACUCAUACUCUACCAUCACAUAUUCCAUAUUGACUUAAGUAACACAGGGUUUUAAAAUGAUUUUAUACUAAUUGCAAGUUUUCAGGAAAUAUCACAGAUUGAGAUUAAUCAUGAUUAGAAAUAUUUUAAUCUUUUUAAUUUAUCAUGUCGGAAACAGUAAUCUGCAUAAUCCAAAAUAUGUGUAAAGUAAAGUGUGCAGAGUGUGUACCUGAAUCGUGGAGUGGUGUAGUCGGAGUGUGUUUGGCAUGUUGAGGGAUCUCCCCCAUACUUGUUUUCUGCUUUCUUGCACAAAAGUAAAGUAGAGACACACAAGACAUAAUAAUAAU